GAUGAUGAGGGAGAAGAGGGGUGGGCCUUGAAUGGUGUGCCAUUAUGAAAGUAAUUGAAUUAGAUAUAGGUCUACAUGGAAUGUAUGACAAUUAAAGUGAAUGGGGAAGGUGCUGGGGGGUUAAGGUUAGAGAGAAGGUGCUGGGGGUUAAAGUGAAGGGGGAAGGUGCUGGGGGGUUAAGGUUAGAGAGAAGGUGCUGGGGGUUAAAGUGAAGGGGGAAGGUGCUGGGGGGUUAAGGUUAGAGAGAAGGUGCUGGGGGUUAAAGUGAAGGGGGAAGGUGCUGGGGGGUUAAGGUUAGAGAGAAGGUGCUGGGGGUUAAAGUGAAGGGGGAAGGUGCAGGGGGGUUAAAGUCAGAGAGAAGGUGCUGGGGGGUUAAGGUCAGAGAGAAGGUGCUGGGGGUUUAAGGUCAGAGAGAAGGUGCUGGGGGGUUAAGGUCAGAGAGAAGGUGCUGGGGGUUUAAGGUCAGAGAGAAGGUGCUGGGGGGUUAAGGUCAGAGAGAAGGUGCUGGGGGUUUAAGGUCAAAGAGAAGGUGCUGGGGGGUUAAGGUCAGAGAGAAGGUGCUGGGGGUUAAGGUCAGAGAGAAGGUGCUGGGGGGUUUAAAGUUAGCGUAGUGUGAAAGCCAAAAGGAGAGGAGUGGAGGAUGAGGGAAUGAAGGAUAAAUGGACAUGAGUUGAAUAUUACAAUAUUGCUUCACAUCUGCAACAUCUUACCCAGAACAUCUAGCUUCACAUCUGCAACAUUCAAUAUGUAAAGUUGUGUCAUGUCUGUUCA